rnacentral:rRNA from 1 species
UACGUAGGGGGCAAGCGUUGUCCGGAUUUAUUGGGCGUAAAGAGCGUGUAGGCGGCUUGACAGGUCUGCUGUGAAAACUCGAGGCUCAACCUCGAGAUGUCGGCGGAAACCGUCUGGCUAGAGUCCGGAAGAGGAGAAUGGAAUUCCCGGUGUAGCGGUGAAAUGCGCAGAUAUCGGGAAGAACACCCGUGGCGAAGGCGGUUCUCUGGGACGGUACUGACGCUGAGGCGCGAAAGCCAGGGGAGCAAACGGG